UGGGGAAUAUUGCACAAUGGGGGAAACCCUGAUGCAGCAACGCCGCGUGAAGGAAGAAGGCCUUUGGGUCGUAAACUUCUGUCCUAAGGGAAGAUAAUGACGGUACCUUUGGAGGAAGCCCCGGCUAACUACGUGCCAGCAGCCGCGGUAAUACGUAGGGGGCGAGCGUUAUCCGGAAUUAUUGGGCGUAAAGAGUGCGUAGGCGGUUUUUUGAAGCGCGGGGUGAAAGGCAAUGGCUUAACCAUUGUUAGCCCUGCGAACUGGGAGACUUGAGUGCAGGAGAGGAAAGCGGAAUUCCUAGUGUAGCGGUGAAAUGCGUAGAUAUUAGGAGGAACACCAGUGGCGAAGGCGGCUUUCUGGACUGUAACUGACGCUGAGGCACGAAAGUGUGGGGAGCAAACAGGAUUAGAUACC
rnacentral:rRNA from 1 species